UGACAGCUCAAAGCUCUUUCCGCAUUGCAAUGCCUGUAUUUACCCUGGAGAGAAUACAAUAAAGGAGACUUGAUCAGACUCCUGUCUUGUCUCCAUUCUUGGCGCCCCCUGCCCCUUCCCAUUCUCACCCCUUCCUCCAGGUAUCCCUGUCCACUGACCUGCCGGAUGGGUCACAUGGUGCCCGAACGUGGGACCUGGAUACGAAGGACAAGGCGCCUGAACAUGGGACCUGGAUACGAAGGACAACGCUACAGGAGAUAGCCGGCUCAAUUAGGAAAAAAGAGGACUACCUGCGUGGGAGCCUGCCGCGCUGGAACCAGGGCCUCGAUCCAGGAUCAGAGGUGGACCAGGACAGCAGAGGAGCCCCUGCGCCUACCACACAGCAAGCACCAGUUGUAAGCAACAGCGGUCCAUUGCUGAGGGAAUGGCCAAGGCUCCUGGUGAGGUACACUGAGAAAAACCCUCCAGCAAUCCAACCCCGACCCCAAGCACCAGUUAACACAAGAGGAAUUGGAAGCCCGUUGUGCACUGAAAAGAACCAUAAGGACAGUGAAACCCAAACUCAGUCCAACUUUGAUUAGAUUCACUCACCCCCCUGUGCUGAUAGAGACAGAGUCUCACUUUACCGUCCUUGGUAGAGUGCCAGGACGUCACAGGACUCACGGCAACCUCCAGCUCUUGGGCUUCCGUGAUUCUCCUGCCUCAGCCUCCCGAGCAGCUGGGACUACAGGCGCCUGCCUCACACCCGGCUAUUUUUUGGUUGCAGUUCAGCCAGGGCUGGGUUUGAACCCACCACCCUCGGUAUAUGGGGCCGGUGCCCUACUCACUGAGCCACAGGCGCCACCCUAAAAGUCAUUGAUUUUAGUAAAUUAUUUAAUGACAUAGAUGUAGUAAUAAUAAACGCAAACUUACAAAAACAACCUCAACUUCACUA